GACUUUGGUGGCUGAGUUUAAAGUAUUAACCUUUUAAGUUAAAUCACGGUGUAUGCCCCAGGUCU
rnacentral:tRNA from 1 species